GUUAUACAGAGAAACCCUGUCUUGAAAAACAAAAAAAAAAAAAAAAAAAAAAAAAAUUAAGUGUGAAGACCUUCCUCCCAGUGCCAGCCCUGAAGAUCAUGUGUAGCCUUUUUUCCAUCAAUGGAUACCGGCUUUAAAGGUUGAAGAUAGUGAUUGAUUCUCUAAGUCUUAAGACUGGGACUUUGCAAUCUGGUUCUUGCUGACAAGAUACCCACAUGUUACAGAAUGGUAGCUGUUAGAUCAGUUUAAGUUUUUAGGUCUAUGAGGUGAUGUGAAGAUGCCAGGAGCAAAUUCAACCUUACAGUUACCUGUCAUACCGGGAUCUAGCUGGGACUCUUUGAGCACGCACACACAUAUUGAUGUGUGUGCACAGUUCAACUCUAAAUUGAGAAUCAGAGUUUUGAUUUUCAACUCACACUGCCCUAGACUUGUCCAAAAUGAGUACUACAGGAAAAUUGUGUCAUUUCUGAGCAAAGGCUUCUUUCUGUCAGGAAAACUGAGAGUGUCCCAAGAGAAGUUAGCGUCACUGUUGUGAGAGCCAAAGUAUAGCUAGGGAGCAGAAAAGCAGCCAACUCUGCAGGGUACACAGGAAGGAGGAGAAAUCUUAUAAAUUAAAAACAAAAAACAGUCAUUGAGAUUUAAAGGUCACUUGACAUCACAUACCAGGCUGACCUCUCAGUCUAUUACCCAAAAUUGAUCAUGGAUAGAAUGAGACCUGAAGUGACAACUGUCAAAACUUGUCCUUGGAAGCGAGCACAGAAGAAAAUACAUACUAUUUUCCCAUUCAUUGGUUACAAUCUGUAGCAAUUACUCACCCAUACUUCCUUAUCACCCUGCAACCUGUAUCUCUUUGAAACAAAUUAUAAUUUGAAAGUACAGAUAAUUUUAUGGAUAUUAAACAUCACUAAAUGUUAUAUAUUACU
rnacentral:lncRNA from 1 species